rnacentral:rRNA from 1 species
GCAGUCGAACGUGAAAUCCGCCUUCGGGCGGAGAGUAAAGUGGCGCACGGGCUGAGUAACGCGUGGAUAAUCUACCCCGAGGCCCGGGAUAACUCGCCGAAAGGCGGGCUAAUACCGGAUAAUGUCCCACUGCAUAAGUAGUGUGACCAUAGGAGGCUUACGCUUCCGCCACGGGAUGAGUCCGCGUACCAUUAGCUAGUUGGUAGGGUAAUGGCCUACCAAGGCUACGAUGGUUAGCUGGUCUGAGAGGACGAUCAGCCACACUGGAACUGAGACACGGUCCAGACUCCUACGGGAGGCAGCAGUGGGGAAUAUUGCGCAAUGGGGGCAACCCUGACGCAGCGACGCCGCGUGAGCGAUGAAGGCCUUCGGGUCGUAAAGCUCUGUCAGGUGGGAAGAACCCUCCGUCGAUUAAUAAUUGGCGGAGCUGACGGUACCACCAGAGGAAGCACCGGCUGACUCCGUGCCAGCAGCCGCGGUAACACGGAGGGUGCAAGCGUUGUUCGGAAUCACUGGGCGUAAAGGACGCGCAGGCGGCCCGGUAAGUCAGAAGUGAAAUCCGUCGGCUCAACCGACGAACGGCUUCUGAUACUGCCGGAUUUGAGUACGGGAGAGGAAAGCGGAAUUCCCAGUGUAGAGGUGAAAUUCGUAGAUAUUGGGAAGAACACCGGUGGCGAAGGCGGCUUUCUGGACCGAUACUGACGCUGAGGCGUGAAAGCGUGGGGAGCAAACAGGAUUAGAUACCCUGGUAGUCCACGCUGUAAACGGUGAGUACUAGGUGUAGGG